UUGAAUGUGGUACAACUAGCCAUGUUGUGAACUUGGCAAAACAGAAUUGUACUUGCAAGUAUUAGGAUUUGAUUGGAAUCUCUUAUAAGUAUGCUACUUCAGCGAUUUUUUUGAAUCCGCGCAUACUUUGUUCUUCCAUUUCUUUUUUUCUAACCCAUUCUUUGCUUUGAAUUCUUCGUUUUGUCUUUAUUUUAUCUCUUUAUUCAUUCAAUUCAGAGUCAAAGACGAAACAGAAGAACUUCUAUUCUUCUAUUGGAAUCCCUAUCUAAAUCCACAGUAGUAGGGUGGAUUAGAUAUAUUUUGGAA
rnacentral:lncRNA from 1 species